AUCAAGGCAUCGUUUAUCCGCUCCGAGUACCGCACUUUUUCCAACACCACCAACUUGUCUGCGAUGAUGUGUUCUUGAACGUUGCAAACAAAGCCUGACACCAUUUGAUUGUAGGCCUCGAGACUGCGGAAGGCUUUAAGUUGUUUUUUGCGUAAAAUAGUUAGUCUCGAGAACCAAAUAGCAGAGCAAAUCAGUCGAUUCCACCGGCGGUAAGCAAUCAGGCUCGAAGCGUUUCGCAUCUAUCAAAACAGGAUCGAUUCUGAUAGUCGAGAUCUUCUUCAGUUUACGCUCUCUGACUUCUAAAUCCAGUUUUUAUCGUAAUCAUACGGUGGAAUUUGGACGACAUGGUCUGCAUCAGACAAAGGAAUAGCAAUUUUUUCGGUAGAAGCCCUACAUUUAACUUUUUUCGAUUGUAAACUGGAAGGAACUAUAAAUUUGGACCGUGUUUGCAUAUAAUAACGACUGAAACACGUGACGUGCACCAACAUGGCGCAAAUUAAUUCUGUGACGUCACGUGAAAACGAUCGAUAACUCAACGUGUACGAGUGUUUUGAGGAGAAAGUAAGUCAAACAAGGAAUCUUGUAAUACGGGCUACAGAUAAGUUUAUUAUCGUGUGUCUCUGCUAUAUGAGGUCCAAUAUCAGAAACUGAGAGAAUGUGUCCAUCAGAUCAUCCCUAAAAUGAAUUAAGCAGGGCAGAGAGUGUUGUACAAUGGUACGCCGUGAACCUUGUUGGC